rnacentral:rRNA from 1 species
GUAGGUGGCAAGCGUUAUCCGGAAUUAUUGGGGCGUAAAGCGCUCGCAGGCGGUCUUUUAAGUCUGAUGUGAAAGCCCACGGCUCAACCGUGGAGGGGUCAUUGGAAACUGGGAGACUUGAGUGCAGAAGAGGAGAGUGGAAUUCCACGUGUAGCGGUGAAAUGCGUAGAGAUGUGGAGGAACACCAGUGGCGAAGGCGACUCUCUGGUCUGUAACUGACGCUGAGGAGCGAAAGCGUGGGGAGCGAACAGGAUUAGAUACCCUGGUAGUCCACGCCGUAAACGAUGAGUGCUAAGUGUUAGAGGGUUUCCGCCCUUUAGUGCUGCAGCAAACGCAUUAAGCACUCCGCCUGGGGAGUACGGUCGCAAAGACUG